UUUAUAUAGGUGUUUAGCAUAAGAAAUUUUGAUUUUCUAGGAUAUAAUUAAAUUUGUAAUAUAAAA
rnacentral:tRNA from 1 species